UCUUUUGGUGUUUCGGUGCACUGUUUCCAAAAGGGCAGAAAGGAAGAGUAACAGCCAUGGGUUCUCUUUAGGUGUCGAAGAAAGAAAAAUGUGUAGGUUAAUUUCUAGACAUCAAAACUGCAAUCCGUUUUCACCUCUAUGAUCACAACGUCGAGCUCUACGAACGAAGUGCUAUAUGGUUGAAUUGAGAGUUUUGGAAGUCUCAAGGCUGGUCAAACAGUAUUAUUGAAGAAGACAGAGAUUAGGCACUUUCUUGGCUUAAGCAAGAUCAAGAGAUAAGAGUGAACAAUUGCGGAAAGAGUUAGUACCUGAAGCUUGGAAUAUCAGGUGCUAUGCGAGAAAUAAUGGAAGAGUUGGACUAAGGUGUGCUGUUGUAGCUCGUCAACCUCAAAGCUUCGAGUCAGAAAAUCAGCUUUUGAAAUGUAAAUAUUGAUUUUCUGGGUUUAGUGAAAACUGUCUGUGUAUAGCCUUUUUUGCUUAUGUAUAUAUUUAUCAAACCCAUCACUCAUUUGGUUUUGUAAUCUGAACUUUUGGGAUUUCUGUUGUAAAAUGGUUGCUUAUGA